GACGAACCGUGCGAACGUUAUUCGGAAUCACUGGGCUUAAAGCGCGUGUAGGCGGGACGGCACGUCUGUCGCUGAAAUCCCCCGGCUCAACCGGGGAACGGGCGCGGAUACGACCGUCCUGGAGGGGCGUAGGGGGACCUGGAACUUCCGGUGGAGCGGUGAAAUGCGUUGAGAUCGGAAGGAACGCCCGUGGCGAAAGCGAGGUCCUGGACGCCUACUGACGCUGAGACGCGAAAGCCAGGGGAGCGAACGGG
rnacentral:rRNA from 1 species